rnacentral:lncRNA from 7 species
AUCUAGGUCAUUAGCAUUUUAGCGUAUGCAAGACUUGACAAAGCUGAUGAGAAGCCAGAUGGGCCCCUCUCCUCUCUUUUUUUUUUUUUCCUGCCUUUUUUUUUCUUUUUCCUCUCUUUUUUUUUCCCUUUUUCUUCUUUUUUUCCCCCCUUUUUUUUUCCUUUUUUUUUUUUUUUUUUUUUUUUUGCACCACUUGGGAUCCGAGCGAAAAGGAUUUGACUGCAGCAGCAGCGCAGCAGCACAGCAGCACAGGCGGACGGGGGAAGGCUCCUCGCGCUCCUCCAGACCCCUUUUAGAGCAGCAGCAGCAGCAGCAGCGCAGCGCAGCGCAGCGGGGCUCGGGCUGCAGGGCAGCUCCUGGGGUCAGCGCUCCCCCUCCAGAUGGAAGGAGCUGGAGCCCAUCCACUGCCCUCGCCCACAGCUGGCCCAGUGUUCCCAGCAGGAGCCCAGCACUGGCCAAAGCCAACCCUUACUGGAGGUUCCUCUUUCUCACCCCAUGGCCUGGGGCCCCCAGAUCUCUUUGCAGCUCCGUGAGCAGACUCUUGCCUCUGGGAUGGGAGCAGAGAUGAUGGCUCGGGGUCCCUGGGACAGCUCCUUGCACCCCCCCAGGGGUGCUGCAGGUAUUUGGGGACAGACCUACCGGGUGCGCUGUGGAUGCCGCAAGGAUCCCAUCGGGUUGCGCCGUGCCAAUAAAGCUCUUCUUGCUGCGGGUUCCCGCAUCCUCU